rnacentral:rRNA from 1 species
UGGGGAAUAUUGCACAAUGGGCGAAAGCCUGAUGCAGCAACGCCGCGUGAGUGAUGAAGGUCUUCGGAUUGUAAAGCUCUGUCUUUUGGGACGAUAAUGACGGUACCAAAGGAGGAAGCCACGGCUAACUACGUGCCAGCAGCCGCGGUAAUACGUAGGUGGCGAGCGUUGUCCGGAUUUACUGGGCGUAAAGGGUGCGUAGGCGGAUGUUUAAGUGAGAUGUGAAAUACCCGGGCUUAACUUGGGUGCUGCAUUUCAAACUGGAUAUCUAGAGUGCAGGAGAGGAGAAUGGAAUUCCUAGUGUAGCGGUGAAAUGCGUAGAGAUUAGGAAGAACACCAGUGGCGAAGGCGAUUCUCUGGACUGUAACUGACGCUGAGGCACGAAAGCGUGGGUAGCAAACAG